AAGUUGAUGCAGUUAAAAAGCUUGUAGUUGGAUCUUGAGAGUGAGUGAGCAGUCCGCCUAGAGGCAAGCCACUGCCCAUCCCCACCCCUUGCUUCUCAGCAUACCCUGGAUGCUCUUGGCUGAGUGCCUUUUGGGACCUAAAGUGUUUACUUUGAAAAAAUUCGUGUUUUAAGCAGGCCUGAGUCACUUGAAUACUGCAGCUAGGAAAAUGCAAUAGGACUAAGGUUCUAUUUUAUUAGUUUUCAAAACUGAGGCCAUGAUUAAGAGGGACCUACGGCCUUUUGCCCUUUUGCCCCAGAUAUUUUGGAGACUAAUGGACACGGAUUCUAUCUAAGACUGAUUCCAGGGGACCCAAAACAUCACUGUGGCUUUCCAAUAAGAGCAGGGACCUAUGGAGAUCAG
rnacentral:ncRNA from 1 species